rnacentral:rRNA from 1 species
AUACGUAGGUGGCAAGCGUUGUCCGGAAUUAUUGGGCGUAAAGCGCGCGCAGGUGGGAUCUUAAGUCCAUUUUGAAAGUUCGGAGCUCAACUCCGUGAUGGGAUGGAAACUGGGAUUCUUGAGUACCGGAGAGGAAAGCGGAAUUCCCCGUGUAGCGGUGAAAUGCGUAGAUAUGGGGAGGAACACCAGUGGCGAAGGCGGCUUUCUGGACGGUGUCUGACACUGAGGCGCGAAAGCUAGGGGAGC